GGAAAAUUCAAGAUGGCGUAUUUAGGAGCUAGACCUUGACAAAUUAGUAAAAUGUUAGUCUUAGGAGAAUAACGAAAAGGCUUUCCUAGUCUAAGAAACAGCAUAUGCAGUGAGAAACCUCAGAAGAAAUAAAAUUCAAGGAAGAUGGCGACAACGAAAACAUCAGAAGGAACCCUAAAGUGCCAUUAUGCCUGCCUGAAAUGCCUUCUCUCUUCUUAACUCUCCAAAUCCUGUUCAUUUUAAAGACCCGGAUCAAGACUGCCUCCUCCAUGAAGACACCAGUGACCAUUCAGGCUGACAAUUUUCUCCCCAUCCUCUGAACUUCUCUAGCACUUAUCACCUGUAGAACUCAUUAAAAAUCAUGUACUGGUAAAGUUGAAAGCAGCUGGAGACCAUUUAAUCUAAAACCCUCAUUCUUUUGCCAUUGACAUUGUUUGCAUUAUUACAAAAACUCCUGCUAUUUAUCAUUUUUGUUGAUAUUAAACUUUCUACACUCUUGA